UUAACUUAUUUGAUUUUUACUCAGAGAUGCCACUAUAAUACAGGAGAGUUUAUGACCUCCGGCGGGCGCCCCGCGCCCCGGAAGGGCGUGGGCUGCGGUCCCCCGAGGGGUCCCGCGCCGCCGAAGCAACUUGGAUAAGUUCGCGAUGGUUUGAAGUUGCCUUUCGGCUUCUUGUAAUGAUCCCUCCGCUGGUUCACCAACGGAGA
rnacentral:misc_RNA from 1 species